CCUACGGGAGGCAGCAGUGGGGAAUAUUGGACAAUGGGGGGAACCCUGAUCCAGCCAUGCCGCGUGUGUGAAGAAGGCCCUCGGGUUGUAAACCACUUUCAGUGAGGAAGAACGCCUGGUGGUUAAUACCCAUCAGGAAAGACAUCACUCACAGAAGAAGCACCGGCUAACUCCGUGCCAGCAGCCGCGGUAAUACGGAGGGUGCGAGCGUUAAUCGGAAUUACUGGGCGUAAAGCGCGCGUAGGUGGCUUGAUAAGCCGGUUGUGAAAGCCCCGGGCUCAACCUGGGAACGGCAUCCGGAACUGUCAAGCUAGAGUGCAGGAGAGGAAGGUAGAAUUCCCGGUGUAGCGGUGAAAUGCGUAGAGAUCGGGAGGAAUACCAGUGGCGAAGGCGGCCUUCUGGACUGACACUGACACUGAGGUGCGAAAGCGUGGGUAGCAAACAGGAUUAGAUACCCGUGUAGUC
rnacentral:rRNA from 1 species